ensembl:lncRNA
AUUGACAGGGAGAGUUCCUAUGAGUGCAUAUCUGAGACUACGAGUGCCUCAUGGCUCUGGAUUGUGCAACAGAAUCGCCCGCGAACUACACAGUCCAUACCAUGAGGUUUGGCCAGCAGUCUGAGGACAAACUAGCAGUCUUGCAUUUGUGGUUACGUCAUGGUGACGAGUGUGAAAGCUGAAAAGACAAGAGAAAGAGAGCGAGCGAUUAAGAUGCAGGGUAAAUUAAGAAAGGGAGAAAGAAAAAACAACACAGAGAGGAAAGUUGGCUGUAAUUUGCACACUCUUUCUUCCAUAAGGGCAUUGUACAAUGGUUUUAUGACAACUGAGGUAAAACUGGAAAUCCUUGAGGGCAAGCAAAGGAGAGGAAAAGGCAAAGGUGGCCGUGCGUUGGAACUCCCAGGUCAAGAACAAGCGGGGAUUUCGCAAAGCAGAUGGACAGAAGCAGAUGUAAAUGUUGGCCAACACUUUUUUUUGAAGGAUUCUACUUACUCAAAGAAAUAUUGGAUCUCUGCAGAGUUUGUCUGUCAGUGGGAGAGCAGUGGGAACUGGGAGGUAUGCAGACUAUUUUUUUUUUUUUUGCAAAACGGUGGAAGUGGGAUAGCAGCUGAAGCUGUCCAUUGCCCAUGAAUCAGGCUGAGGCACCGUGAAGAAGUGGCCCUCACUGGAGCCAGAUGGGCCCUUGGCUCGACGCUGGACAGGAUGAAGGAACACACAAACACACACACCGAGCAGGAUAGGAACAAACGGCCCCUUGUGCUCGCUGCAGAUACUGAUGCAGAAAAGCAGGCUAAAGUGCCCACGUAUACAGGGUUUUAUAUAAUCGAUUCAUAACCAUAUAUGCAUAUAUAUGCAAGUAAUUACUAAAUUGUAUGGAACUGCCACAAAACUGCUAAAAAGCAGAAAUAAACAGUUUGUCCGAAAAUACAUAAAAACAUUAGCUACACAUAUCAAUACUAGUUUUCUGAUAAAAAUGCAUUCAGAUAACAGCGCUUUUAUUUUUUUAGCCAGCUAAUGCAAAUAGCAUCAGUUAACUAACUUGUGUAAUUUUAUUAGAAACAAAGAUUUAGAUCACACACACAAUUUCAAGUAAAAGAUAACUUCUUUUGUUAUUUCCAUUCC